rnacentral:rRNA from 1 species
CCUACGGGUGGCAGCAGUGGGGAAUAUUGCACAAUGGGCGCAAGCCUGAUGCAGCCAUGCCGCGUGUGUGAAGAAGGCCUUCGGGUUGUAAAGCACUUUCAGCGGGGAGGAAGGCGGUGAGGUUAAUAACCUCAUCGAUUGACGUUACCCGCAGAAGAAGCACCGGCUAACUCCGUGCCAGCAGCCGCGGUAAUACGGAGGGUGCAAGCGUUAAUCGGAAUUACUGGGCGUAAAGCGCACGCAGGCGGUCCGUCAAGUCGGAUGUGAAAUCCCCGGGCUCAACCUGGGAACUGCAUUCGAAACUGGCAGGCUAGAGUCUUGUAGAGGGGGGUAGAAUUCCAGGUGUAGCGGUGAAAUGCGUAGAGAUCUGGAGGAAUACCGGUGGCGAAGGCGGCCCCCUGGACAAAGACUGACGCUCAGGUGCGAAAGCGUGGGGGGCAAACAGGAUUAGAUACCCGGGUAGUC